rnacentral:rRNA from 1 species
UUCCGGUUGAUCCUGCCGGACCUGACUGCUAUCGGAUUGAUACUAAGCCAUGCGAGUCAUUGUAGUAAUACAAGGCAGACGGCUCAGUAACGCGUAGUCAACCUAACCUAUGGACGGGAAUAACCUCGGGAAACUGAGUAUAAUGCCCGAUAGAACAUUAUGCCUGGAAUGGUUUAUGUUCCAAAUGAUUUAUCGCCGUAGGAUGGGACUGCGGCCUAUCAGUUUGUUGGUGAGGUAAUGGCCCACCAAGACUAUUACAGGUACGGGCUCUGAGAGGAGUAGCCCGGAGAUGGGUACUGAGACACGGACCCAGGCCCUAUGGGGCGCAGCAGGCGAGAAAACUUUGCAAUGUGCGAAAGCACGACAAGGUUAAUCCGAGUGGUUUGUGCUAAACGAACCUUUUGUUAGUCCUAGAAACACUAACGAAUAAGGGGUGGGCAAGUUUCUGGUGUCAGCCGCCGCGGUAAACCAGCACCUCAAGUGGUCAGGAUGAUUAUUGGGCCUAAAGCAUCCGUAGCCGGUCCUGUAAGUUUUCGGUUAAAUCUGUACGCUUAACGUACAGGCUGCCGGAAAUACUGCAGGACUAGGGAGUGGGAGAGGUAGACGGUACUCGGGAGGAAGGGGUAAAAUCCUUUGAUCUCUCGAUGACCACCUGUGGCGAAGGCGGUCUACCAGAACACGUCCGACGGUGAGGGAUGAAAGUUGGGGGAGCAAACCGGAUUAGAUACCCGGGUAGUCCCAACCGUAAACUAUGCAAACUCAGUGAUGCAUUGACUUGUGGUCAAUGCAGUGCUGCAGGGAAGCCGUUAAGUUUGCCGCCUGGGAAGUACGUACGCAAGUAUGAAACUUAAAGGAAUUGGCGGGGGAGCACCACAAGGGGUGAAGCCUGCGGUUCAAUUGGAGUCAACGCC